CCUGUGCAGCGCCUUCCGAUCUGCGAGCCCUAGGGAGGGACCCACAGGACCCACAGGCUCAGCCGCUCCUCUGCGGUCUGCAGAGGGCAGCCAGGACCAGGCCCGGCCAGGUCUCAGUGACGGCCAAGGCCAGGGUCGGAGCCCUGCGUCAGCCCGGUGACCUCACGCUGCAAGUCUGGUCACAGCUACAGGAUCUCUCUCUGGAAAGAUGUUAUCGGACACCUGUCAUCGGAUUUGAGACCCACCCAGGGAAUCCAGGGUGGUCUCCUCAUCAUAAGCGCUGGGGACCCGGGAGCACCAAGUCCCCCUCAGACCCUGAGGCCACGUGGUGGGAGAGCAGCGGCCUCCCCAGAGGCCAGCACAAGAGGCUGUGGGUGGGGUGGGUGCCUCCAGAUGGGGCUCUCCGGAGCCCCUGGGCUCUGGUCCAGCUGUGGCCGUGGCCGAGGGCAGAUGACAGGGGGCAGACACACACAGGUGGAGGGACUGGGCCGACGGGCACCCCGUGCUGCUCCUCAGGGCAGCCUUGCUACAGGGGCCACCGCCGUCACGUGGCGCCAAGCCCAUGGGUCUGUGCUCCGUUGUCCCUUCCUGGUGCCUGGUUCCCACCCGCCAGCCCCCAUCUCUGACAGGUGCACCACCCAACAGUGAUCAGACCCAGAAUGAGAGCAUUUAAAGUGGGAGGGGUCCCAUUGUUUUAAAAUGUGGGUGUUGUAAAAGACAGCCAGUGUGGAGACAUUCGGGGCGACAGGGAAAGGGAGAGGAAGAGGAGGGCGCUGCCCGGCCCUGCUGAGUGUGCAGAGCCACCUGCCCGCUGGCCCUCGUGUGAACGCUCACGCCCCACAAGCAGACGUCAGCAGGGAAGGAAGGGACGCUCUGGGUCCAUCCCCAGACGGGGAACAAAGUGCCCAUGGACGGUGUGCACGAGCCUCACAAACAAGCUGAGUGAAGGACGCGAAGGAAAACCCACUCUGUGGGUCCACCCGAGGGACUCCCGGAGCAGGUCCUGACCAUCACAAGCUUUCCUACAUCACGGUGUUGAGCCCUGUCACGGCUCUGGAGGCACACGUACUGCUGUCAGCCCCAGUCAAAUGGGACACUGAAGCUGGAAGAAACUGGGAGACAUGGCCGAGAUCACAAAGGGAGUGUGCAGCCAGGAUCCAAAAUGGGCUUCUCUUACAUACUGACACAGGGCCAGGAGCUGGAUAUUUAAAAAAUACAGAUUCCUGAGUAAUUCCGCGAUAUCCCCAGCACUCCAGCAGCUGCUCCAUCUGGCUAUGGUUCCUGGGCAUGGUCUCCUUCGUUAGCAUGCUAAUUUAUUCUGACUCAUCAUCGCGAAGCUGGCGCACACCUCGAUGCCAGAGCACGACCUGGGGGCUGUGAUUCCCAGCUGGAACAGGAGCCCUCCCCGGGGGCUGUCACCAACGCCGGGAAUAAAGAGAACAGUUGGGGACAAGGCUUCGGCGGCAGGCUGAGCAGCUUGUAAUUUCCCCUCCGGUGGCCCUGACAUUCUGUGACAGGCUCGGGAGAGCGAGGCUGGAGACGCAGGCUCCGGGAACACUCGAGCUGCAAAGUUCUUGAGGGAGCACCAAUGCGGUUAAAACAUA